GGCAAAGGCCAUGAAGAUGAGCUUGCCAUGCGUUCUCCUUCUCAUUCAGCUCAUUGAAGCCUGUGCGGAGUUGAUCUUUCGUCAGCAGACGGACGGCCAGUCCCUGGAGCUCUCCUGCUCCCCUCAGCUGCAGCGCGGCGCUCCCACCGGCCUCCACCUGUACCACCGCGGCGCCCGCAGCCAGACCACCCUGCUGUCCAUGGCCGAGGGCGGCGGCGGCCCGAGGCUCAACGCGGAACACGUGGGCCGCCUCAGGCUCGCCGGAGGCCUGGACAGCCGGCAGGUCAACGUGACCGUGGCCCUUUUGCAGCCCAGUGACACGGGCCUCUACGUGUGGGAGCUGAGCUACGGACGGGGGAACCGCUCUGAGCAGAUGGUCCUCGGUGCUCCGACGGUGUUCUUGUUGGUUGAAGGCGCAGGUACGUGGUUGAGACACCUCGCGAUACACUCUGCUGUGGUUAAACCCCGAGUAGCUCCGUGCAGAUUGAGAUGCGCCUCCAUGUGUGUGUGUGUCUUUGGUGCAGGAGGGUCCUGCCGGUGCUCAGCCAGUUACCCUCUUCUGCUCCUGAUCAUCUUUACCGUAGCGGGGCUUCUUCUGCUCACACUCGGCCUGCUGGCCUUGGAGAAAUGUGUGAAGUCCCGGCAUCAUCACAGACCACAACCCCCUGUUCCCAUCUACGAGGAAAUGACCUGCAAGCAGCGCAGUCCGGUGGCCCCCAAAAAUAACCCUGAGGCCCCCUCACACCUGGAGGAAGUAAACUUCCCCGCGUACGCCAACACGGACAUCCGGCAGCCACAGGACAACUACUACGCAUGUCCCAGGCAGCUCGCCCUCAGGGCCUGAGGUGACUCGGUGGAGCAGAUGUCAACAGGAUGUGACAUCAGCGCCUCUGCAAACACACGAUGAGACGCUCAGGAUAUAUAUAUAUAUAUAUAUAUAUAUAUAUAUAUAUAUAUAUA
ensembl:lncRNA